rnacentral:lncRNA from 1 species
GGAUUAAUCCAUUCAUAGAUUAAUGGAUUAAUGAAUUAAAGGGUUGUUUUGGGAGUGGCUGGCUUUAUGACAGGAAGAGAGGCCUGUGCCUGCCCAGUGAGCUCUCUCCCCACAAGAUGCCCUGUGCUGUCAUGAGACUCUGCAGUGUCCCUACCAGCAGGAAGGCUCUCCCCAAAUGCAGCCCCUUGACCCUGGACUUCCCAGCCUCCAGAACUUGAGAAGAGGAACAAAUGGAGGAACAUCCCAGUCAAGUGACAUUCCUAGUGACAUUCACCAGAACAGAGUCAAGCUUUGGAUCCCAUGUUCUGUGACUUCCUCUUCACCACGCUUCCUCCACACACGUAGCAGCUCAAGGGUUUCUGAUGAGUGGGGUCUAUGUUCCCUUUAUGAGCUGUAACGCACACCAUGAAGGUCUGCGGCUUGGCUAUUGAGUCAGUGAGAGCGUGAACCUACUAUUAGAAGAAAAACUCUGAAUACGUCUGAACGUCAGAAAGAACGAAGUUUGGACACAUUGUCUUUAAGAACUGUAACACUCACCCCAAGGGUUUAUGGAUUCAUUCUUGAAAUCAGUGAAACCAAAAGCUUUCCAAAGUUUAACACACAGGGAAAUGACUUACUGCAAAGAACCACUCUUCCCCACGAGACUUCGAGAAGACCCGCUGUCACGGACUGAGUUGUGUCCUCUUAAAAUUCAGAUGUUGGAGUCCAAACCCCCAGUAACUCAGAGUGUGAACGUAUUUGAAGAGGUCUUUAAAGAGGUGAUGAAGGUCUUUGUCUCUGACAAUUUGCCUCUGUGACGUGGAUGGGACUGGAAGUCCAUUUGGAGCCCUGUCUUCUCCACCUAGGGAGAGAGACCCCAUGAGCUCGUCAAGCUCCUUCUGUGACUGAUCAGAGAUCCCACCGUGAGUCCAGCUCCUGGUCCCAUGCUCUGGAUAUAUCGGUCCCUGGCAGCGUGCAACUCCUUAGCCAAAGACGUGGCAACUGCGGGUGAAGUAUCUCUGGGCAGGAAAUCAAUGCAGAAAUGCAACUGGGGAGAGGGGGCUUGGGGGCCAGUUCCAGGGAGAUUGGAACUGCUGUGUUCUCAUCAGCAGAAGUGGCCCCUGCCCACCCCCAUCCUAAUCCCUUCUCAUGUGGGAGAAGGUCUGUGAGCCCUCUCCCUACCAGGCAGGUUCUAUGGCAAUGUGGGCACAUACCCUGGGGCAGGGGCCGAGGGACUUAACUCACUUCAUGAGCGCCAAUGGAGGAGCGAAGGGAAUGCCUGAUGAAAACAACAUUCUACCAGUAUGCACUGUUUUCUAACCUACAGAGUGCCUCUGUGUUCACUGUCCCAUUUGAGAAUUCUAAGUAGAAUUCUGAACAGGCUGGAGCAGAUUGCCCACCCCAAGGGACAGAUGUUGGCUGGUACUGUUGGUAUUCAUGGAAGAUUCCUUCUGACACUCCCUCCUUCUUUGUAAUUGCCAUGAACUGGAGCACUGGGCCAAUAUAAAUCAUCCAAGGGUGAACACGCUGCACAUGGACGGCUCCUCUUUGUUUUUGAAGGGAUUCCAUCUCUAUUUUGCCAUGUGCUCCUUCACCCCACUCCCCACCCCCGUCUUUCAUUUCUUUCUCUGGAAAAGAUACUUCAACUCACAGGACUGCGAUGUUGAAACGGACACCCAAGAGCAUCACAGAUGGGCCAGGCCUGGACCUCUCGGGACAACAUUCCUCACGACUUUUAGAUAGAAGAGAUUAGAGAUUUGGGACUGGUGGCAACUGGUAACGUUUUCAGUGUUUGGUAAACAGCCAGGGUCCGGAGCUCUGGGAACAGCCUGAUUUAGCUCUUUGUUUAAGUUUUGUGUUAGAGGCUCCCAAGAAGCUGAUGCAGGGGAAAGAAAUUAACAACCAUGGCUCAUUCACAGCCAGGCAGCCAAAUGGACAGCUCUAUAAGACUCAAGCCGACAGCGGAGAGAGUGCAACCAAACAGCCUUGGCCCAGCUUUCAGAGGAGAACGUUAUUCACCCCAACUGCUCUGCAUCUGCCUGGAUGUCUGCCAAGAUCUGUGAGCAUUACAGCGUUGCAGUCUUCUUUCCACCAAUGACCCCUCGCGCUGCUUCCAGAAGCCAAGAAAGUGGGCUUUGUCCUUGGGGAUUUAGGAGGCGGAGCGGCGCCCCCUUGAGGCCACAUGGUGGAGGCAGCGAUGAGACCUGGAGUCUAAAAUUCAGACUGAAUCACAGGAAGAAGCUAUUUACACAAGUCAAACAUGGUCCAAUCUUGGCAAUUUCAUAAGGUUCCAAUCCUUAAGGGAUCAAAACCUGGCCAACUGCUUCCACCGAGAGGUGUGCCUUUCAAUGCCAGGCUUGGAGUGUCCCUCUUUAUUUAAAAAGGAGAGGAUUCCACAGCAGAGCUUCUCAAACUCUUCCACCCAAAUCCCCUCACCACAGAGGGACAGGAGUCCUGGGCAUGUAGCCUAAAGCAGCCAGGAGAAAAAAACCUUGACCUUAAUUUUUUUAAUGAUUUCACAUGAAUCAGUGGAAUGUGUUUAUGAUAAAAUCAUCUCCUCCUGAAAUACAUGUGUAAAACUGCUGCCCCAGUUAAACGCACUUAGUCUAACCAAGCCCUAGGAUUGGCCUCUCCAGCAUGAGAAGCAUUUCCAGCACUCCAGCUCCCCAGCUCCCACUCUGGGAUCCCACCUCAGACCCUCCCACUUCCUUGCACUCUGGCCUCUCGCUCUUGACCCUGCUCCCGCCACGCUCUUUCCUCAGAGUCCAUCAGUCCUGUCUUGUCUUCACCUUGGUCUCUGCCAAGUGUGGGUCCAAGUCAUAUAUUUGGGCUGUGAUCACAGGAACCCCAAGCCCCAGACCUCCCAAAGCACCCUAUGGAGAGACCUUACCCUCCUGGACAGACCCUCUCCCCCCAGCUAGACCUCAUCCUCUGGGUAGACCCAUCUCCCCAACCAGAACUCACCCUCCUGAGUAAACCCCAUCCCCCUAGCUAGACUUCAUCCUCCUGGACAGAUCCCAUCCCCCCAGCUAGACCUCACCCUCUUGGGUAGAUGCAUCUCCCCAACCAGAACUCUCCUGGGUAGACCCCUUCUACCCAGCUAGACCUGAUCCUCUGGACAGACCCCAUCAUCCCAGCUAGACUUCUCCCUCCUGGACUGUCCCCAUCCCCCCUCCAGCCAGACCUCACCCCUCUGGGUAGACCCCAUCCCCCCAACUAGACCUCACCCUCCUGGAUGGACUCUACCCUCCUGGAGAUACCUUCCCCUCCUGGGUACAUCCCACGUGGCUACACACUCCUUCCCCUGUCAGCUUUCUCCCCCAGGGUUCUGGGCAGCAGAGUCUGUGAUAAAGGAUACUAAGUGAUUCCCCAAUACUUCCCGUUUCCAGCCUCCAGUGGGCUCUCCCUGGGGCUAACGGUUCUUUUUGCUAUUUCUCCAGGCUUUGCCUGAUGACAAGUAUACUCUGAGAGUGUCCUAAUGAUACAGAUUUUGGACCCUAUCCCAGUUCUACUGAAUCCAAGUCUCUGGGGGAGGAGUUGGGGCUCUGCAUCUGGACACCUUCCUGCAGGGUCCCUCCUGGGAGGCAAGCCCGGGGAGCACCGCUGAGGCUCGCCUCAGUGCCCAUCCUAGACCUUCAGCAGCUAGCAGAGGAUGUCCCCACCAUCCCUCAGCCCACACUCCCACUGUCGCCCCAGCCAGGCUUGGCACUGCCUCCUUUCUCAGAAGAUUAAGACCAUCUGCUGUUUCCCAAGUUUCCCACCCUCCACCCUAAAAAUUUCUCCGUUUCCCAGUCUUUCCUCGUCUCUCAGAAAAUAAACAUCUUCCCAGGCUGCCUCCCCAGUGGGUCUGCACUCCUUGCUGUCUUCCCAGCACCUGCCCUUCCAGCCCGCCCUCUGUGUGUCCAGUGUUUCCCUCACCAAAGGACUCGCUUUGUUUUUCAAAUUGGAGGUUUUGUCUUCUCCCUAAAAACCAAAACAUCUCCCUGAGAAGUAACUCCCUCAAGCUACUGAUACGGAAGGGGGGCGGGGAAGUGCUGGGAAGGGAAGGGUGUGGUCCCUGGCUAGGGCUCCACCCCCGGGCCUGUGCCCACAGACCUAGGUGAGGACAGGCAUUUCUGUUUUCGUGCUUAAAUGUUGGAUUUCCCAAGACUACCCUGGCCUACCACACCCUCAUUCUGUGCCUGUAAAAAAACCUGAGAGCUUAGCAGGCACGCACACAAGCCUCUGGACGUCAAGAGGAACACACCGGUGUAAGAGCAGACUGAUAGUGGCCCACGGCAGGCUGGCAGGCCAUCGACAGGCAGAACCACUCAGUGCAGCUGGAGGACAGCCUGGCCACGGAGCGGUCCGACUUCAGAGGGGAAAACCACCUCCCCACUCCGUCUCCCUUCUGGCUCCCCCAUCUGAGAGCUACUUCCACUCAAUAAAACCUUGCACUCAU